rnacentral:rRNA from 13 species
UUUACUUUGAAAAAAUUAGAGUGUUCAAAGCAGGCCUUUGCUCGAAUACAUUAGCAUGGAAUAAUAGAAUAGGACGUGCGGUCCUAUUUUGUUGGUUUCUAGGACCGCCGUAAUGAUUAAUAGGGAUAGUCGGGGGCAUCAGUAUUCAAUCGUCAGAGGUGAAAUUCUUGGAUUGAUUGAAGACUAACUACUGCGAAAGCAUUUGCCAAGGAUGUUUUCAUUAAUCAGUGAACGAAAGUUAGGGGAUCGAAGACGAUCAGAUACCGUCGUAGUC